rnacentral:ncRNA from 1 species
CACUCUGGAAAGCGGCACGGCAGUGCCCACCGACGGGGAAAGCCGUCUCACCGGUCUCAUCACCUGAUGACGCCGGAUCGAGCGGGAAAUCUCUCAGGUACGAGGACAGAGAGGG